rnacentral:siRNA from 1 species
GAUUUUGGAUACUUGCCUCGUGU